GUGGUUGGCCACAGGAUACGGGGUACACCAGAUCCCAUUCCGAAAAUCGGGGUUGGAUGAGACCUAACUCGAUCGGGAGCUCUGAAGUUAAGCCGUGUCACGCCGGGGAAUAGCAAGGUGCGAGAGCCCUUGUGAAUACCCGGUGCCAACUACC
rnacentral:rRNA from 1 species